rnacentral:rRNA from 1 species
AUACGGAGGAUCCGAGCGUUAUCCGGAUUUAUUGGGUUUAAAGGGUGCGCAGGCGGCCAUUUAAGUCAGCGGUUAAAUCGUGGGGCUCAACCCCAUUCUCCCGUUGAUACUGGGUGGCUUGAUUGCGGUCGAGUUUGGCUGAAUUCGUUGUGUCUCGGUGAAAUGCAUAGAUAUGACGAAGAACACCGAUUGCGUAGGCAGCUGACCAGACCGCAAAUGACGCUCAUGCACGAAAGUGCGGGGAUCGAACAGGAUUAGAUACCCUGGUAGUCCGCACAGUAAACGAUGAAUACUUGUUUUCGGCGAUAUAAUGUCGGAGGCAAAGCGAAAGCGAUAAGUAUUCCACCUGGGGAGUACGCCGGCAACGGUGAAACUCAAAUGAAUUGACGGGG